rnacentral:rRNA from 1 species
UGGGGAAUAUUGCACAAUGGGCGCAAGCCUGAUGCAGCCAUGCCGCGUGUAUGAAGAAGGCCUUCGGGUUGUAAAGUACUUUCAGCGGGGAGGAAGGGAGUAGAGUUAAUACCUUUGCUCAUUGACGUUACCCGCAGAAGAAGCACCGGCUAACUCCGUGCCAGCAGCCGCGGUAAUACGGAGGGUGCAAGCGUUAAUCGGAAUUACUGGGCGUAAAGCGCACGCAGGCGGUUUGUUAAGUCAGAUGUGAAAUCCCCGGGCUCAACCUGGGAACUGCAUCUGAUACUGGCAAGCUUGAGUCUCGUAGAGGGGGGUAGAAUUCCAGGUGUAGCGGUGAAAUGCGUAGAGAUCUGGAGGAAUACCGGUGGCGAAGGCGGCCCCCUGGACGAAGACUGACGCUCAGGUGCGAAAGCGUGGGGAGCAAACAGG